GCCAAUGGGGCAAUUCAGAACACACACUCUGUCACUUUUCGUUUCGCCAUGGUCACCCUCCACUGGGUCCUCGACUGGUUGCUGUGGGUCACGCCACUUCAGCUCCAGGGUGGAGCAUUCCCCGUUCUCGCCAUUUGGGAUCAGUCCUUUGGAUUAACCAACCAUAAUAUAUUUUGUACAUGCAUCAACUCCUGAGGAAGUGAGCAGAGCUCGCGAAAUGUGUCAAGUACAAAAGAUGUAUAUGUAGAUCACGUAUCUUCAAAGACUGUAUUGCACAGAUUUAUGAUUAUAAACUAUAUGCUUCAUUAUGUCUUUAUGCUCAUUUAUGAUCAUGUUCUUGGAAUUGUAAUACAUUGUAAUCAAUUUAUUCUGAGCCUAUCAUCUACUAGGAGCCCCAGGUCCUUUUCCAUCCUAGAUUCCCCCACAGGAUCUCCCCUUGCAUUCAUAUUUUUGCUACUCAAAUGCAUUAUUUGAAAAUUUUCCACAUUAAACCUAAUUUUCCAUGUAGUUGCCCACCCCAUUAAUUUGUUCAGAUCUUUUUUAAAGGUUUCCACAUCCUGCAGAGGAGUUAUUGCUUGCUUAACUUAGUAUCGUCCGCAAAUAUGGAGAUUGAGCUGUUUAUCCCCUCCUCCAAAAGGCACUUAGAGUCCACUGUGAGCACAAGUUAAAUUGCCGAAUUUGAGAGAGAUUUUGCUAUGUGGCCCAGUGAUAUUUACUUACUUCAUGUCCUUGAAUGCAUGUGCAAUACAAUAAAGUGUUACAGAACCCACAA